rnacentral:rRNA from 1 species
GACGAACGCUGGCGGCGUGCUUAACACAUGCAGGUCGAACGGUCCUUCGGGAUAGUGGCGGACGGGUGAGUAACACGUGGGAACGUACCCUUAGGUUCGGAACAACACAGGGAAACUUGUGCUAAUACCGGAUAAGCCCUUCGGGGGAAAGAUUUAUCGCCUUUGGAGCGGCCCGCGUCUGAUUAGCUUGUUGGUGAGGUAAUGGCUCACCAACGCUACGAUCAGUAGCUGGUCUGAGAGGAUGGCCAGCCACACUGGGACUGAGACACGGCCCAGACUACUACGGGAGGCAGCAGUGGGGAAUCUUGCGCAAUGGGCGAAAGCCUGACGCAGCCAUGCCGAGUGGAUGAUGAAGGUCGUAGGAUUGUAAAAUCCUUUCACCGGGGACGAUAAUGACGGUACCCGGAGAAGAAGCCCCGGCUAACUUCGUGCCAGCCGCCGCGGUAA